rnacentral:rRNA from 1 species
GACGAACGCUGGCGGUGUGCUUAACACAUGCAAGUCGAACGGUAAGGCCCUUUCGGGUGUACACGAGUGGCGAACGGGUGAGUAACACGUGAGUAACCGGCCGUCAUCUCGGGGAUAACAGGCGGAAACGGUUGUUAAUACGGGUAAUGAGCUUGCAAGGCAUCUUGUGGGUUGGAAAGAUUUUUUUGGUUGGGGAGGGGCUGGCGGCCUAUCAGCUUGUUGGGGAGGUAGUGUCUCACCAAGGCUUCGACGGGUAGGCGGCCUGAGAGGGCGAGCGGCGACAUUGGGACUGAGAGACGGCCCAAGUGCCUACGGGAGGAAGCAGUGGGGAAUAUUGAACAAUCGACGGAAGUCUGAUGAAGAAGCGCUGCGUGCGGGAUGCUGGCCUUCGGGUUGUCAAAAGCUUUCCAUUGUGACGAAGCUUUUUGUGACGGUAGCAGAAGAAGAAGCACCGGCUAACUACGUG